UCUUUUCUCAGCCUUCACCCAAAGGGAAUCAAGUCGCCUGCUGCACGGGAGGGGACCAUCAUGUCUCCUCUCCAAAGCCAGGCAGCCUGGCCUUCAGCCCCUCGCCACCUACAUGAGGUCUUUCUGUUCUUUUAUUGUGUCUCACACAGAGAGAAUUAACAAAACAGAAUCCCAGAAGGUUACCAAAUGCAGAGAAGCACCUUAAAAUAGAACGCAAUAAUUACCACAUAAAGCAACCAAGAACACAGGUUUCAGGUGGGCACGGCUGCUGUCCCCCAAAUGCCCACUUAGGAGGAAAUGCAGAUCUGUACCGGGAGGAAGCAGCCUGGGGCCUGGGCCUCCGGGGCUGGUUCCACUGAGCAACCCAGCCCGGGCCUCGCUGCGCGGUCCAGACACAAGGAAGGUAGUUUCUCAUCUGCUGCUUCAGAAACACAUGGCUCUUCCAACUCGAAACCUCAAGUUCAGAAGAUUUAUGGGCUAAAACAUCAUAACUAUAAAAUAAAACUCUCAGGAAAUGCAGCUACAACAGUCAAUGGAUCAUUACAGCAGCCACUUAGCAAGCCAUAAACUCACUG
rnacentral:lncRNA from 1 species